GUUUGGUUUACAAGAAGGUGCCGCCCUCCAUCACCUCGAUCCGAGAACGAUAUUUUAAUUUUCAUGAACAGAGAGUGAACCCCUCUCAUAUACGGAACCGGACACUGAUUUGUUAUUAAAGGGCGCAGGCCCGCUCAGGCUAUCAGCCGGACGCUGACACAGAGUUUGGUCACAUUAUUAGAGAGCGCGGCUCUCUCAUACACUCAACUCACUACGGUGCUGUCCAUUUGUUCAUCACACAGGCUCGUACCCGUACAGGACAACGAUGUUUGCAUCAAGGGGCGUCCC